GACGAACCGUGCGAACGUUAUUCGGAAUCACUGGGCUUAAAGGGCGCGUAGGCGGGUCGGUAAGUCAGGGGUGAAAUCCCACGGCCCAACCGUGGAAGUGCCUCUGAUACUGCCGGCCUCGAGGGGGAUAGGGGCGUGCGGAAUUCAGGGUGGAGCGGUGAAAUGCGUAGAUAUCCUGAGGAACACCGGUGGCGAAAGCGGCGCGCUGGGACGGUACUGACGCUGAGGCGCGAAAGCGUGGGGAGCGAACAGG
rnacentral:rRNA from 1 species